rnacentral:rRNA from 1 species
AUUGAACGCUGGCGGCAGGCCUAACACAUUCAAGUCGAACGCGUGGCGGACGGGUCAGUAAUUUCUGGUCAACUGCCUUAUGGAGGUGGCUAACUACUGGCAACUGUAUCUACUACCGCAUACCAUCAGAUGUGCCCAGCUGUGAUUAGCUUGUUGGUGGGGUAACGGCUCACCAAGCCGACGAUCCCUAGCUGGUCUGAGAGGAUGACCAGCCACACUGGAACUGAGACACGGCGCAGACACCUACGGGAGGCAGCAGUGGGGAAUAUUGCAGAAUGGGGGCAAGCCUGAUGAAGCAAGGCCGAGUGAAUGAAGAAGGCAUUCGGGUUGUAAAGUACUUUCAGCGGGGAGGCGUUAACCGCAGAAGAAGCACCGGCUAACUCCGUGCCAGCAGCCGCGGUAAUAC